rnacentral:rRNA from 4 species
UCCGUAGGUGAACCUGCAGAUGGA